AUACGUAGGUGACAAGCGUUAUCCGGAUUUACUGGGCGUAAAGGGCGUGUAGGCGGUCUUGCAAGUCAGAAGUGAAAUUCCUGAGCUCAACUCGGGCGCUGCUUCUGAAACUGCAGGACUUGAGUGCUGGAGGGGAUAGCGGAAUUCCUAGUGGAGCGGUAAAAUGCGCAGAUAUUAGGAAGAACACCGGUGGCGAAGGCGGCUAUCUGGACAGUAACUGACGCUGAGGCGCGAAAGCGUGGGGAGCAAACAGGAUUAGAUCCCCUGGUAGUCCACGCCGUAAACGAUGAAUACUAGGUGUAGGGGGUAUCGACUCCCUCUGUGCCGCAGUUAACACAAUAAGUAUUCCGCCUGGGGAGUACGGCCGCAAGGUUGAAACUCAAAUGAAUUGACGGG
rnacentral:rRNA from 1 species